rnacentral:rRNA from 1 species
UACGUAGGUGGCGAGCGUUAUCCGGAUUUACUGGGCGUAAAGAGCGCGCAGGCGGUCGUUCAAGUCGAGUGUGAAAGCCCCCGGCUCAACUGGGGAGGGUCAUUCGAUACUGGUACGUCACUCGAAGGCAGGAGAGGGAAGUGGAAUUCCCGGUGUAGUGGUGAAAUGCGUAGAUAUCGGGAGGAACACCAGUGGCGAAGGCGACUUCCUGGCCUGUUCUUGACGCUGAGGCGCGAAAGCUAGGGGAGCAAACGGG